GAAACAAACUUCACCUGAGAAAUGAGCCAUAAUCAUUGGACUUUCUAACUUAUAUCAUGGGCGCUGCACAUUGUUUACUCCAUUAAAGACGUUUAAUAUAAGGGUUAACUAUCAUAUUGGUCCCUGUCUUUGUGUCGCCGUCUGAAUUAGGUCCCUCGCCGGAAAAAUUAUUGAAAAAACUCCUCUUCUUUGUAAAUCGUUUGAAGCAGGUCCUCGCCGGAGCCCGGAGCUCCGGCGAGUGAUGAUUUGGAACGCUGAGUGGAUUAAUCGUGCUUACAUGGAUUUUAAAAAAAAGUACAAAAUAAAAAUUUAAUAACACAUCACAUAAUUAAACCGAAUUAAUAAAAAUAAAACCUAUUAAGUAUUAGCAAAUCUAACCCAAUCUAAUAAACAAAAUCAAUUUUCCCCAAAUUAACCAAAAUUCCCAAUCUAGGGUUCUUCUUCUUCCUGAGCAUCAACACUCACCUGCAACCUAAAACCCCAACCCCACCAGUAACACCACCUGCAACCUCUACCUCCACCCCCAACCCCCACCUGCAACCAGAUCUGUGAAUCGAAAACCCAGAGGAUGACGAAGGUGCGAGGAGGAAGAAAGGGAGACCCAGAGGUUGGCGGAGGUUCCUGUCUUUGUUUUUGUAAUUGGUGGUUUUCGUGAGUGACAUGUCGGGUAUGGAGAGGCUUCAAAGGAUGUUCGCGGGUACAGGAGGAGCACUAGGUCACCCUCCACCUGAUUCCCCCACCCUCGAUUCCUCCGAGCAGGUUUACAUCUCCUCCCUCGCCCUUCUCAAAAUGCUCAAACAUGGUAGGGCUGGACGGCUGGUGUUCCUAUGGAAGUACCAAUGGGUCCAAGACAUUGGGACAAGUGGGGCACAGGUGGUGGAAUAGAAAUGUCUAGGAACUGUAAAUUAAUAGGAGGUGAUGAUAGAUAAGGAAAUGUUGGUGUUUCUGAUGAUUUUUUGUUGAACGUGGUGUUUCUGAUGAUGGGUUGAUGAAUGUGGGAUGAAAAUGAAUUAAAAGAUUGAGUUUAUAAUGAGUUGAUGAUUGUGUGAAUAAUAAACGUUAGUAUGGGUUGAUGAGUGUAUGAUUAUUAAGAUUGAGGCUUUAGAUCUUGAAUUUUUAAUCUGGGUAUUGAAGAAAGGGGAUGAAGAUGAUAGGAUGGAGAAGAUGAAGAUGUUUGUGAGAUGAAGAAGGAGAUGAAGAUGUGUUUUGAUUUUCAGGAAAAGAAGAAAUUUUAUGAUGAGUAAUUUAA